rnacentral:rRNA from 1 species
CACAUGCAAGUCGAACGGGCUAGUGCUUCGCACUAGUCUCUUUCUGGGGUUGUUACUCUAAGGCUACCUGCUAAAGUUAUUGCUUUAAAGCAGGGGUUUUAGGAGACUUUCCCCGAAAGGGGCCAGUGCGGAGCACUGGCCAGUGGCGAACGGGUGAGUAACACGUGGGUAAUCUACCCUCGAGUGGGGAAUAAGCUUCCGAAAGGGGGUCUAAUGCCGCAUAACGUUUCAUAACGAUGGUUAUGAAACCAAAGCCCAAAAGGCGCUCGAGGAGGAGCCUGCGUCCUAUCAGCUUGUUGGCAGGGUAAUGGCCUACCAAGGCUAUGACGGGUAGCCGGCCUGAGAGGGUGUCCGGCCACACUGGAACUGAGACACGGUCCAGACUCCUACGGGAGGCAGCAGUGGGGAAUUUUGCGCAAUGGGGGAAACCCUGACGCAGCGACGCCGCGUGGAGGAUGACGGCCUUCGGGUUGUAAACUCCUGUCAGAAGGGACGAAACCCCGCAAGGGACUGACGGUACCUUCAGAGGAAGCCCCGGCUAACUACGUG